AGACCUCUUACUUUUAAAGGAUAAAAGUAAUCCAUUGGUC
rnacentral:tRNA from 1 species